GAUGAACGCUGGCGGCGUGCUUAACACAUGCAAGUCGAACGGAAAGGCCCAAGCUUGCUUGGGUACUCGAGUGGCGAACGGGUGAGUAACACGUGGGUGAUCUGCCCUUCACUUCGGGAUAAGUCUGGGAAACUGGGUCUAAUACCGGAUAGGACCACAUUCUGGAUGGUGUGGUGGGAAGUUUUUCGGUGUGGGAUGAUCUCGCGGCCGAUCAGCUUGUUGGUGGGGUAAUGGCCUACCAAGGAGUCGACGGGUAGCCGGCCUGAGAGGGUGACCGGCCACAUUGGGACUGAGAUACGGCCCAGACUCCUACGGGAGGCAGCAGUGGGGAAUAUUGCACAAUGGGCGCAAGCCUGAUGCAGCAACGCCGCGUGGGGGAUGACGGCCUUCGGGUUGUAAACCCCUUUCGCUAGUGACGAAGCGUAAGUGACGGUAAUUGGUAAAGAAGCACCGGCUAACUACGUG
rnacentral:rRNA from 1 species